rnacentral:rRNA from 1 species
AGUGAACGCUGGCGGUAGGCCUAACACAUGCAAGUCGAACGGCAGCACAGUAAGAGCUUGCUCUUACGGGUGGCGAGUGGCGGACGGGUGAGGAAUACAUCGGAAUCUACUUUUUCGUGGGGGAUAACGUAGGGAAACUUACGCUAAUACCGCAUACGACCUACGGGUGAAAGCAGGGGAUCUUCGGACCUUGCGCGAUUGAAUGAGCCGAUGUCGGAUUAGCUAGUUGGCGGGGUAAAGGCCCACCAAGGCGACGAUCCGUAGCUGGUCUGAGAGGAUGGUCGGCCGCACUGGAACUGAGACACGGUCCAUACUCCUACGGGAGGGAGCAGUGGGGAAUAUUGGACAAUGGGCGGAAGCCUGAUCCAGCCAUACCGCGUGGGUGAAGAAGGCCUUCGGGUUGUAAAGCCCUUUUGUUGGGAAAGAAAAGCAGCAGGUUAAUACCCCGCUGUUCUGACGGUACCCAAAGAAUAAGCACCGGCUAACUUCGUG